CCUACGGGAGGCAGCAGUGGGGAAUAUUGCACAAUGGGCGAAAGCCUGAUGCAGCAACGCCGCGUGAAGGAAGAAGGGUUUCGGCUCGUAAACUUCUAUCAACAGGGACGAAAGAAAUGACGGUACCUGAACAAGAAGCCUCGGCGAACUAAGGGCCAGCAGCCGCGGUAAUCCGGAGGGGGCAAGCGUAAGGCGGAAUUACUGGUUGUAAAGAGUGAGUAGGCGGAAUGGUAAGCCAGAGGUGAAAGCAUUGGGCUUAACCCAAGGAUUGCAUUUGGAACUAGCAAGCUAGAGUACAGGAGAGGAAAGCGGAAUGCGUGGUGUAGCGGUGAAAUGCGUAGAUAUUAGGAAGAACACCAGUGGCGAAGGCGGCUUUCUGGACUGAAACUGACGCUGAGGCACGAAAGCGUGGGGAGCGAACAGGAUUAGAUACCCGAGUAGUC
rnacentral:rRNA from 1 species